UGGGGAAUAUUGGGCAAUGGGCGCAAGCCUGACCCAGCAACGCCGCGUGAAGGAAGAAGGCCCUCGGGUUGUAAACUUCUUUUAUUCGGGACGAAGAAGUGACGGUACCGAAUGAAUAAGCCACGGCUAACUACGUGCCAGCAGCCGCGGUAAUACGUAGGUGGCAAGCGUUAUCCGGAUUUACUGGGUGUAAAGGGCGUGUAGGCGGGACUGCAAGUCAGAUGUGAAAACCAUGGGCUCAACCUAUGGCCUGCAUUUGAAACUGUAGUUCUUGAGUGAUGGAGAGGCAGGCGGAAUUCCGUGUGUAGCGGUGAAAUGCGUAGAUAUACGGAGGAACACCAGUGGCGAAGGCGGCCUGCUGGAACAUAACUGACGCUGAUGCGCGAAAGCGUGGGGAGCAAACAGGAUUAGAUACCC
rnacentral:rRNA from 1 species